CCUCCAUUUCUUGGUGGGGAUGGGGCCUCUGGUCCUGGCCCCCGUAAUGUAUGGAGUAGAGAGAAAGAGGUCAGAUGCCUGGGCCCCUUGGCAUCAUAUCUUCAGUACUGGUGGCUUCUAGUCUGCUGGUUUUAUCCUCAAGGACCAGGACACAG